UACAGAGGGUGCAAGCGUUAAUCGGAAUUACUGGGCGUAAAGCGUGCGCAGAUGGUUGCGUAAGUCAGAUGUGAAAGCCCGGGGCUCAACUCCGGGUCGGCCGUGCGAACUGGGGGACUGGAGCUUGUCAGAGGCAGGCGGAAUUCCGGGUGUAGCGGUGGAAUGCGUAGAGAUCCGGAAGAACACCGGUGGCGAAGGCGGCCUGCUGGGACAGUGCUGACGCUGAGGCGCGACAGCGUGGGGAGCAAACAGG
rnacentral:rRNA from 1 species